UGUGCAUGUGUGAGAGCUUCAUGGGUAUGUUGUGUGCAUGUGUGUGUUCACUUGGAUGGGUGGAUGUACAUGCAUAUGUGUGUUAGCUUCAUGGGGAGGUGCUUCAUGGGGCAUGUACUUGCAUGUGUGUGUUAGCUUCAUGGGUGUCAGGGUGUGUGUGUGAGAGCUUCAUGGAGAGGUGUGUGAGUGUGUCAGCUUCACUGGUGUGCACAUGCACAUGUGCGAAAGCUUCAUGGGAGUGUUGUAUGUAUGUGUGCAUUAGCUUCGUGGAGGGGUGGGUGUACAUGCAUAUGUGUGUUGGCUUCAUGGGGGGUGAUAGCCUCAUGGGGUGUGUACUUGCGUGUGUGUGUGUGUGUGUUAGCUUCAUGGGUGUACGUGUGUGUGACACUGCUUCAUGGAGGAAUGUGUGAGUGGGUAUCAGCUUCACUAGUGUUUGCCUGUGCAUGAGUAAGAGGUGCAUGUGUGUGUUCACUUGGAUGGGUGGGUGUACAUGCAUGUGUGUGUUAGCUUCAUGGGACAGGUGAUAGCUUCAUGGGGUGUGUACUUCUGUGUGUGUGUGUGUGUGUGAACUUCAUGGGGGCGGGUGUGCUCACGCACACUCUACACAUAUCAUCUUUAGUGCUAGGAAACCCUAGAGCGGUCGGGCUGAAGGAGUCUCCAGCGGUCGUCAGUCCAGCCUCGAGCCGUAGGAGGGCAGCAGGUUUGGUGCGGGGUGGAGACGAGGACCAGUGCAUCCCAAGCCAUCACGGACCUGUCUAGAGACAAGCUGGGGUGCACGGGGCUGCACGUGCUCCUCUCCUCCGCGCUUUGGCCAGCCCUGGGCUGGGUCCGUGUGGUGCUGCCAGGCCGAGCCGAGUUUCCCAGGCCUCAGCUGUGCAUCCCCCAGGUGCAGGGUGUCGGGAAAGGAGAGCUGGAGGCAGUUCCCUUUAGGUUCUUGCAAGAGAGAGCAGGACAGAAAGUCUUGGCUGCUUCUCUCUGUCUCUUUUUUUUCUUUCUCCUUAGCUCCGGCCCCGUUUAUCUUUGCCGAAUUAAAUCCUUGAUUAACCCUUAUCUCCCCAGUUCGG